UACGAAGGGGGCGAGCGUUGUUCGGAUUUACUGGGCGUAAAGGGCGCGUAGGCGGUCUUGAAAGUCAGGCGUGAAAGCCCCGGGCUUAACCUGGGAAUUGCGCUUGAUACUCUGAGACUGGAGUACGGGAGAGGAGAGUGGAAUUCCCAGUGUAGAGGUGAAAUUCGUAGAUAUUGGGAAGAACACCAGUGGCGAAGGCGGCUCUCUGGACCGUAACUGACGCUGAGGCGCGAAAGCGUGGGGAGCAAGCAGG
rnacentral:rRNA from 1 species